GCCAAACCAUGAAGUGAAGUGGAAAGGAAAGAACACAAACCCUAGGUGGGAAAAUUGAAGAAAAAGUGUGGGAUUUCAAGGGAUUAAGCUAAUAAAGGUAAAAUUUUGUGAUUUUAUCUUGUGAUUUACACUACCCAUGCUUUCUUUUUCAUUUUCCAUGCUUAGAACUCAAGUUUGCAUGAUGAACCCAUGCUGGCCGAAUUUGAGAGGAGGGGUUUUAAGCAUUGAUUUUGCUAGAUUUCAAGCUAAUUAAGUGUUUUUGGUUGUUUGGUAAUGGAAAGUAUGAAAAUCUAGCAAGGAAUCACUUUGUUCUUCACAAACCCACAAGAGGUUGAAUUUUCUAAGGAGGAUAUUGAGGCUGAAAUUGAUGAUAUUUCAUGAUAUUUUGGUGGUAUUUAAUGAUUGGUGAGGCUAGAAAUUUAAUGGGAAAUUUUGGCAUGAAAAUCUGAAUUUUUACCUAAUGUAUAGACAUGUGCGAUUUAUGGUUCAGACUGAUAAAUUGAAUCAUAUUCACAGUCAUUGAGGUAUUUUAAGUAUAAUUGGAGUGUAGAAAGUGAAAGAAAUUGAUUUGGAGUUAAAUUGGAGGUUUUAGCUAAUUACACCAAGAAUAGAGCGAAUUAGGUCGAAUUCCGUAUUUAAACGGCUAUUCAAACAUUUUGCAUCACAUUUCGUGCAUUCAUAUAGAUUUAUAGAGCCUGAAAUAGUUUAUGAUAAAUUGAUACAAUUUAUUGAAAUUCGUGUCACGUAUAAUGUAUAGGUGGUGAGCCCUCUAACAAGGGUAAAGAGAUUGUGCUCGAAGACCGGGAAUAGGAGUAUAUCGAACUCCUAGUACUGUGAGUAACCUUACUAUCGUUUUAAUUAUCUAAAGUGGUUUUAUUCGAUUUUGUGAUUUUAUGAAAAAUGAGUUUAAAUGGUAAAUCUUUAUGUUUUUUAAGCAAAAUGAGAUUAAAUGAAAAUGAUUUUAUAAAAUUGUCUUGAGAUUGAAUGAUGGUUUUGAAAAUAGAGUAAUUGGAGACUGUUUUCAUGUGUUGUAAAUCAUGGUUUGAAUUGAAUGGCUUAUGAUAAUAUUGGCAUGAAUGGUUGAUUUGGUAAAUGUGUUGAAAUGUAUAAACUGUUGUUUGCCUUGAUAGGUUGGAUAAUGAUAAAAUUGCCAUGUCAUGCUGUUGAAUUUUUAUUGCAUGGUGGGUUUAGCUUGCUGCAGUGGGCUGGUUCUAUGGAUCAGCCUACUAGAGGGGCACGAAACCCGAUCAUAUAUAUGUACCUCGAUUGAAGAGGCGCAUAAGGUAACUCCCGAGGUCAAACUUUAGAGUUCACUUCACGCCAAACCACCACGUGAGGGUGAAUUCGGCCAACGCCAAGGAACGACUAUGUUUUCAAAAUAAAAACAUGAUUUAUGCAUACAUAACUUUUUAACAACCUUGGCGAACUCGGUUGGGAUAGCUCUCAGCCAAGGUAUCUCUAAUAACUGAGUAUGAGAAUGAUUUUUGGCACGAGCCAAGCUUUUCAGGAAAUCAUAAGCCUAGUUGUUUAUUUGGUUGAAAUGAAUUGAAAGGUAAUGAAAUUACAAUAUGAUGACUUAUUUUAAUUGUCUCCAUUUACUCGACUUUAGAUAGUUUAGAUGGUAUCUGUUUAUUUACUGAGAUUUUAUAAUUUCACCACCCUCCUUUUCAACCAUUUCAGGCCCAAGGUAACCUGUGGAUAGCAGAUAUUGUCAAGGAUUAUAGUCGACUUUACUACUCCAAAAACUGUAGGUUUUCUGCCUUUGUGCACUUUUGUUCCUUGUGGGCCCACGAGUCACUGGAAAGUAAAUUUCCAUAUCCCAGUUAUUUGUAUUAUAGUACAUAUGAAUUUAUUUAGCUUUUACAUUACAAAAAUUAUUUACCGAUGACUCUAUAAAUAUUGUUUUACAAGAAAUUAGAAUAUUUUAUUGAAUAUUUUUAUUUUAUUCAAAUAGUUGUAAUAUCAUUUUUAAUAAAUGUUUUAG
rnacentral:lncRNA from 1 species